rnacentral:rRNA from 1 species
GACAGAGGAUGCAAGCGUUAUCCGGAAUGAUUGGGCGUAAAGCGUCUGUAGGUGGCUUUUCAAGUCCGCCGUCAAAUCCCAGGGCUCAACCCUGGACAGGCGGUGGAAACUACCAAGCUGGAGUACGGUAGGGGCAGAGGGAAUUUCCGGUGGAGCGGUGAAAUGCAUUGAGAUCGGAAAGAACACCAAUGGCGAAAGCAAUCUGCUGGGCCGAAACUGACACUGAGAGACGAAAGCUAGGGGAGCAAAU